UACGUGCCAGCAGCCGCGGUAAUACGUAGGUGGCAAGCGUUAUCCGGGAAUUAUUGGGCGUAAAGCGCGCGCAGGCGGUCUCUUAAGUCUGAUGUGAAAGCCCACGGCUCAACCCGUGGAGGGUCAUUGGAAACUGGGAGACUUGAGUGCAGGAGAGAAAAGUGGAAUUCCACGUGUAGCGGUGAAAUGCGUAGAGAUGUGGAGGAACACCAGUGGCGAAGGCGGCUUUUUGGCCUGUAACUGACGCUGAGGCGCGAAAGCGUGGGGAGCAAACAGGAUUAGAUACCCUGGUAGUCCACGCCGUAAACGAUGAGUGCUAGGUGUUGGGGGGUUCCACCCUCAGUGCUGAAGUUAACACAUUAAGCACUCCGCCUGGGGAGUACGACCGCAAGGUUGAAACUCAAAGGAAUUGACGGGGGCCCGCACAAGCAGUGGAGCAUGUGGUUUAAUUCGAAGCAACGCGAAGAACCUUACCAGGUCUUGACAUCCUUUGACCACUCUAGAGAUAGAGCUUUCCCCUUCGGGGGACAAAGUGACAGGUGGUGCAUGGUUGUCGUCAGCUCGUGUCGUGAGAUGUUGGGUUAAGUCCCGCAACGAGCGCAACCCUUGACCUUAGUUGCCAGCAUUCAGUUGGGCACUCUAAGGUGACUGCCGGUGACAAACCGGAGGAAGGUGGGGAUGACGUCAAAUCAUCAUGCCCCUUAUGACCUGGGCUACACACGUGCUACAAUGGAUGAUACAAAGGGUUGCGAAGCCGCGAGGCCAAGCCAAUCCCAAAAAGUCAUUCUCAGUUCGGAUUGUAGGCUGCAACUCGCCUACAUGAAGCCGGAAUUGCUAGUAAUCGCGGAUCAGCAUGCCGCGGUGAAUACGUUCCCGGGCCUUGUACACACCGCCCGUCACACCACGAGAGUUUGUAACACCCGAAGUCGGUGGGGUAACCCUUUGGAGCCAGCCGCCGAAGUACG
rnacentral:rRNA from 1 species